AGAGUUUGAUCAUGGCUCAGAUUGAACGCUGGCGGCAUGCCUUACACAUGCAAGUCGAACGGUAACGGGCCUUCGGGUGCCGACGAGUGGCGAACGGGUGAGUAAUGCAUCGGAACGUACCUUUCAGUGGGGGAUAACGUAGCGAAAGUUACGCUAAUACCGCAUAUUCUGUGAGCAGGAAAGCAGGGGGUCGCAAGACCUUGCGCUCUGGGAGCGGCCGAUGUCGGAUUAGCUAGUUGGUGGGGUAAAGGCCUACCAAGGCGACGAUCCGUAGCGGGUCUGAGAGGAUGAUCCGCCACACUGGGACUGAGACACGGCCCAGACUCCUACGGGAGGCAGCAGUGGGGAAUUUUGGACAAUGGGCGAAAGCCUGAUCCAGCCAUGCCGCGUGAGUGAAGAAGGCCUUCGGGUUGUAAAGCUCUUUCGCCCGCGAAGAUAAUGACUGUAGCGGGAGAAGAAGCCCCGGCUAACUUCGUG
rnacentral:rRNA from 1 species